ACUGUCCGUGAUAUCUUGAAAUUUCUGCAAAUAUUGCUUCAGCGUUUGAUUCAUUCUCUCUACAAUUGCUUGUCCCGUUGGGGAAUGUGGAAUCCCUGUAACAUGUUGUACUCCCCAUAACUGACAGAAUUUACGCAUCUUCUCACUACAAUAAGCUGGCCCAUUAUCCGUUUUAAUCUGUGCUGGUACCCCCAUUACAGCAAAACACGCCGUCAAGUGACGAAUCACAUGACUAGCUUUUUCUCCUGCCUGUGGCGUUGCCCAUACAAAAUGACUAUAUGUAUCAACUGUAAUAUGUACAUAUUUGAGCCUACCCAUUGAGGGCACAUGCGUCACGUCCAUUUGCCAUAUCUCAUUAGGACCCAACCCCCUAGGAUUAACCCCUACGCCUAGACCAGAACCAUGAUGACUACACUGAGGGCAAGUCCGUACAAUUCCCUUAGCUUCCUCUACAGUGAUCUUAAACUGUGAAUGUAAUCCUUUCGCAUUCUGAUGGAACACACUAUGUGAUUCUCUAGCCUUGACAAAAUCACUAACAGGGGCAGAACAUGCUACCAACCUAUCUGCUCUAGCAUUCCCUUCCCCAAGGCCACAAUCCCACAUAUGACUACGGAUGUGAAUCACUGCAUAUGGUUUUGUUCUUCCUUGAAUUAAUGUACGCAACUGUCUAAACAGUUCUCCCAAGCGCAGUUGCUUAACAUCCUUAAUCUGAGAAUCUUCUAUCCUGUGUAACACACCCGCGACAUACAGCGAAUCGGUCACAAUAUUAAUUGUUUCCUCUCUCCAUUUUCCCAUGGCCCAUACAACAGCAGCAAGCUCCAAUGUCUGCAAGGAAUCUCCCGGAACAGCUUCCAGCAAGUGGUGGUGCCACUCACCACAAGCGAUCCAGAGAGAUCCACCGGAGUGGAGGGAUCGGUUCCACGCAGCAAUGGUCGUAACACCUCUAACUGCGUAUUGGUAAUACCCACGACAGGCCUUAACCAUUGUAAAUCCCCCAUGAGUUUCUGAACAUCAUGAAGUGUCCUAAUAUCUGUGGUAAUAUGCGGUUUUUGCGGUCGAAUUUGGGAGUCAGUAAUUUUCCACCCUAAGUACAACCACGGUUCUUGUCGCUGAAUUUUUUCCUUAGCAAUUACUAAACCCUCCUUAUACAACUGACAAUGUAAAAAUUGCAAUUGUUGCUCAGUAAAGUCUUGUUCUUGUGCAAUAAGAAUAUCAUCCAUGUAGUGAUA